UUUAUUUUUUCAUUGGUGGUAUCCCUCUCCGAUGCGGUGGGGACAACUCCCAUUCCUUUAAUUUCUUGAUUUUCCCUUAUCUUUGAUUUUUUCUGCAACAAUGGAUCUCUAGCAUUCAACCCUCUUUCUCUCCUCUCUAUGCCUCUGUCCUUACCCUUAUUAUAUCAUUCUACUCCAUGCAUUCCCAGGGUGACAUGUAGAAAGUUGUAGAGAUGGAAGACAAUAAAGAAAGUAAAAUGAUAUCGGCUGCGGCCUUUGUAGAAGGGGGGAUUCAAGACUCCUGUGAUGAUGCUUGCAGCAUAUGUCUUGAGGAGUUUUCUGCAAGUGAUCCUUCAACGCUCACUAAUUGCAAGCAUGAGUUUCACCUACACUGCAUUCUCGAAUGGUGUCAGAGAAGCUCCCAGUGUCCUAUGUGUUGGCAAUCUAUUAGCUUGAAGGAUCUUACUAGUCAGGAAUUGUUUGAGGCAGUAGAGCAGGAGAGGAAGUUGAGGGUUGCCACAUCAAGAAAUGCUUCUAUUUUUCAUCACCCUGCAUUAUUGCAGCACUUGCGCAUGAAUGUAAAUGAUAUUGAGCUUGAAGAGCAAAUUAUUCAACAUUUAGCUGUUGCUGCAGCAAUGAGGAGAGCAGACCAACUUGGCCGUAGGGCAGGACGACACGCUAAUUCAUCACCUCGUGGUCAUCCACACUCAUCGGUGUUAUCUAAUAUGGCACCUGCUGAAGAAGAAAAUGACAAAACGAGUAUUCCUAAUACAAGUGCAUCUACUCCAAUAAAAUCUGAGAGAUAUGGAGCAUUGCAACAGAUGCUGCGAGUUCGAACUCAAAGCUCUUCUUCAGCUUCUGGAUCUAGAAUUUACUCCAAUGAUAGAGGCUCUACUACUCCCUCGUCAUCAGUAAACGGCGAUAAAGCAGAGUUCCAGUCACAUUCUGAUUCGCUGCGGUCCAGACUCAAUGCGGUGUCUGCGAGAUACAAAGAAUCAAUCUCAAAGGGUGCAAGGGGAUGGAAGGAAAGGUUGUUCUGUCGUAGUUGUUCCAUGUCAGAACUUGGUUCAGAAACAAGGAGGAGAGAGAUGAAUUCUGAUAUUUCUAGUGUAUCCCGACUAAAGGAAUCCCUUGAAUCUAGUGAGAAUAGUAAAGCUGUGGGUACUUCUUUGUCUAGUCAUAUGGAGGAUUGUUCCAUUGGAGAGGUGAGCAAUCACAAUGAUGUUGAAGUUAGCGGGGAGACCUCUUCACAUGAUGACAAUACUCCACCUGCUUGUUCUGCUACCUCACAUUUAAAUUGAGCUCUUCCUUGUUUCUGUCAAUGUAUCUUUCCUCAGCAUCUCAUAUUUGAAGCUUUUUAACCCCAAAGGUAACAUGACAAACUGAGGAGCAUACGCCAUGGAAAUAGUCGCAGCACUUAUGUUGGGGUUUGCUAUAAAAAUUACCAUCAGAUAAACAGCUGUGCUUACAGCUAAAAGUAAUCUUUUUAUACGUAUAUAUUUUGUGCCAAACACAGUGAAGGGUUGAACGUGUCUUAAAUGUCUGGUGGGUGGGAUUUUAGAUGGACAUGUACUAUGAACAUCAAUGUACCUAUGGAAGAACAAUGUUUAAAUGUUAAGGGGAAUUUGUCCUGAUUCUUUUACAUUUUGUUUAUUGACAAAUCGAUAAUAUAUGGAUGGAGGUGGCAACUAGAUUA